rnacentral:rRNA from 1 species
GACGAACGCUGGCGGCGUGCUUAACACAUGCAAGUCGAACGGAAAGGCCCUGCUUUUGUGGGGUGCUCGAGUGGCGAACGGGUGAGUAACACGUGAGUAACCUGCCCUUGACUUUGGGAUAACUUCAGGAAACUGGUGCUAAUACCGGCUAGGAGCUCCUGCUGCAUGGUGGGGGUUGGAAAGUUUCGGCGGUUGGGGAUGGACUGGCGGCUUAUCAGCUUGUUGGUGGGGUAGUGGCUUACCAAGGCUUUGACGGGUAGCCGGCAUGAGAGGGUGACCGGCCACAUUGGGACUGAGAUACGGCCCAGAGUCCUACGGGAGGCAGCAGUGGGGAGUAUUGCACAAUGGGGGGAAGCCUGAUGCAGAAAGGUCGGGUGCGGGAUGACGGCCUUCGGGUUGUAAACCGCUUUAGCCUGUGACGAAGCGUGAGUGACGGUAAUGGGUAAAGAAGCACCGGCUAACUACGUG